CCGCGUGUGUGAUGAAGGUCUUCGGAUUGUAAAGCACUUUCGACCGGGACGAAAACCCUGAGGCUAACAUCCUCAGGCUUGACGGUACCGGGGGAAGAAGCACCGGCUAACUCUGUGCCAGCAGCCGCGGUAAUACAGAGGGUGCAAGCGUUGUUCGGAAUUAUUGGGCGUAAAGCGCGUGUAGGCGGCUUUGCAGGUCGGGUGUGAAAGCCCUCAGCUCAACUGAGGAAGUGCGCCCGAAACUGCAGAGCUUGAGUGCCGGAGAGGGUGGCGGAAUUCCCCAAGUAGAGGUGAAAUUCGUAGAUAUGGGGAGGAACACCGGUGGCGAAGGCGGCCACCUGGACGGUAACUGACGCUGAGACGCGAAAGCGUGGGGAGCAAACAGGAUUAGAUACCCUGGUAGUCCACGCCGUAAACGAUGUCAACUAGCCGUUGGGAGCCUUGAGCUCUUAGUGGCGCAGCUAACGCAUUAAGUUGACCGCCUGGGGAGUACGGCCGCAAGGUUAAAACUCAAAUGAAUUGACGGGGGCCCGCACAAGCGGUGGAGCAUGUGGUUUAAUUCGAGGCAACGCGAAGAACUUUACCAGGCCUUGACAUCCAAUGAACUUUCCAGAGAUGGAUUGGUGCCUUCGGGAGCAUUGAGACAGGUGCUGCAUGGCUGUCGUCAGAUCGUGUCGUGAGAUGUUGGGUUAAGUCCCGUAACGAGCGCAACCCUUGUCCUUAGUUACCAGCACGUAAUGGUGGGCACUCUAAGGAGACUGCCGGUGACAAACCGGAGGAAGGUGGGGAUGACGUCAAGUCAUCAUGGCCCUUACGGCCUGGGCUACACACGUGCUACAAUGGUCGGUACAGAGGGUUGCCAAGCCGCGAGGUGGAGCUAAUCCCACAAAACCGAUCGUAGUCCGGAUCGCAGUCUGCAACUCGACUGCGUGAAGUCGGAAUCGCUAGUAAUCGCGAAUCAGAAUGUCGCGGUGAAUACGUUCCCGGGCCUUGUACACACCGCCCGUCACACCAUGGGAGUGGGUUGCACCAGAAGUAGCUAGUCUAACCCUCGGGGGGACGGUUACCACGGUGUGAUUCAUGACUGGGGUGAAGUCGUAACAAGGUAGCCGUAGGGGAACCUGCGGCUGGAUCACCUCCUUUCU
rnacentral:rRNA from 1 species